UUGCCAGACUCCUACGGGAGGCAGCAGUGAGGAAUAUUGCACAAUGGGGGAAACCCUGAUGCAGCGACGCCGCGUGAGUGAAGAAGUAUUUCGGUAUGUAAAGCUCUAUCAGCAGGGAAGAACAUGACGGUACCUGACUAAGAAGCCCCGGCUAACUACGUGCCAGCAGCCGCGGUAAUACGUAGGGGGCAAGCGUUAUCCGGAUUCACUGGGUGUAGAGGGAGCGUAGACGGCGACGCAAGUCUGGAGUGAAAGCCCGGGGCCCAACCCCGGGACUGCUCUGGAAACUGCGUCGCUGGAGUACGGGAGGGGCAGGCGGAAUUCCUGGUGUAGCGGUGAAAUGCGUAGAUAUCAGGAGGAACACCGGUGGCGAAGGCGGCCUGCUGGACUGCAACUGACGUUGAGGCCCGAAAGCGUGGGGAGCAGACAGGAUUAGAUACCCUGGUAUG
rnacentral:rRNA from 1 species